GAUGAACGCUGACGGCGUGCCUAAUACAUGCAAGUCGAGCGAACGGACGAGAAGCUUGCUUCUCUGAUGUUAGCGGCGGACGGGUGAGUAACACGUGGAUAACCUACCUAUAAGACUGGGAUAACUUCGGGAAACCGGAGCUAAUACCGGAUAAUAUUUUGAACCGCAUGGUUCAAAAGUGAAAGACGGUCUUGCUGUCACUUAUAGGUGGAUCCGCGCUGCAUUAGCUAGUUGGUAAGGUAACGGCUUACCAAGGCAACGAUGCAUAGCCGACCUGAGAGGGUGAUCGGCCACACUGGAACGUAGACACGGUCAAGACUCCUACGGGAGGCAGCAGUAGGGAAUCUGCCGCAAUGGGCGAAAGCAUGACGGAGCAACGCCGCGUGAGUGAUGACGGUCUUCGGAUCGUAAAACUCUGUUAUUAGGGAAGAACAUAUGUGUAAGUAACUGUGCACAUCUUGACGGUACCUAAUCAGAAAGCCACGGCUAACUACGUG
rnacentral:rRNA from 1 species